AGAAAAACUCAAGACGGAUUUUGGCACUAGCUAAGAUAUGAUCUUCACAAUUGAUCCCUCACAAUUGGAGUCCAAAAUUACUGCAUCAAAUUUGGCAUCUGAGGUUGCGGGUUCAUCUGCCUCAACCAUGUUAAGACCACUGAAUUUGCUGAGGGCGGUAGAAGAGGCUUCGAUCAAGUCCAUGGUUCACUCAAAAGAUUGCAGCAAGGAAUUGUUUCUGGUGAAGGAGAUGCAUCUGCAGUGAUUCCAGACAAUGGCAAACUCACCAUAGAUUCUUAAUCCCUAUGUUCAAGAUUGUUGAAACUGUUUCCAAUUCUGAUUCGAACCAGCGAACUAUAUUUUUACUCCAUGAAUACGAUUAAUAUUUUAUGCUAUUGUUGAUACACUUCUGGAAUCAGUUUUCUAAUAAUC
rnacentral:lncRNA from 1 species